rnacentral:rRNA from 1 species
AGAGCUCAUACAUGCCACGAAGCCCUGACCCUUACGGGGCAUGGGUGCACUUAUUAGAUCAGAAGCCAACCGUGUAUGGUCGCAAGGCUGUGCAUGUUGUCCUUCUGGUGACUCUGGAUAAUUGUUACAGAUCGCAGUCGGCCUUGAGUCGGCGACGGGUCCUUCAAAUGUCUGCCCUAUCAACUUUCGAUGGUAGGUGACCUGCCUACCAUGGUGAUAACGGGUAACGGGGAAUCAGGGUUCGAUUCCGGAGAGGGAGCCUGAGAAACGGCUACCACUUCCAAGGGAGGCAGCAGGCGCGCAAAUUACCCACUCCCAGUACGGGGAGGUGGUGACGAAAAAUACCGAUGCGGGACUCCUUUAGAGGCUCCGUAAUCGGAAUGAGUGAACUAUAAAUCCUUUCACGAGGAUCAAUUGGAGGGCAAGUCUGGUGCCAGCAGCCGCGGUAACUCCAGCUCCAAUAGCGUAUAUUAAAGUUGCUGCAGUUAAAAAGCUCGUAGUUGGAUCUCGGUAUCACUGUUGCCUGUCGGUCUUUGGACGGCUGACUAUAGGUGCAUGGACACAAAGUUUGUUCGUGUUGCCUUGGUUGGUUGUUUCAAGCUGGCGUGGCGGUGGUGUCACCUUUCAGCCAUGUCUGUGGUGAAAUAUCCACAGGUGUAGGCGAGUGUCAGGCGGUGCCUUGCAACAGUGGGGUUCGUCGGCUCGUUUGCAUGCCUUUGGAUGCCCUUCAAAAGGUGUCUGUGGGCGGAUGGCACGUUUACUUUGAACAAAUUUGAGUGCUCAAACCAGGCCGAUGUUGCCUGAAAAGUUUUGCAUGGAAUAAUGGAAGAGGACUWCGGUUCUAUUUCGUUGGUUGUCGAAUCCCGAAGUAAUGAUCAAAAA